UACGGAGGGUGCAAGCGUUAUCCGGAUUCACUGGGUUUAAAGGGUGCGUAGGUGGGCUGGUAAGUCAGUGGUGAAAUCUCCGGGCUUAACUCGGAAACUGCCGUUGAUACUAUCAUUCUUGAAUAUUGUGGAGGUAAGCGGAAUAUGUCAUGUAGCGGUGAAAUGCUUAGAUAUGACAUAGAACACCAAUAGCGAAGGCAGCUUGCUACACAAUUAUUGACACUGAGGCUCGAAAGCGUGGGGAUCAAACAGG
rnacentral:rRNA from 1 species